GUCUACCACCAUACCAUCCUGAACGUAUCUGAUCUCAUCUGAUCUUGGAAGCUAAGCAAGGUCGGGUCUGGUUAGUACUUGAAUGGGAGACCCACUUGGAAUUCCAGGUUCCGUAGGCU
ensembl:rRNA 5S_rRNA 5S ribosomal RNA